GAAACUUUUGGCAAUGGAACAUAUGCUCAGGCACAACCCUGUGUGGCGGGGAAGAGCUGUUCUGGUCCAGAUUGUAAACCCUGCAAGAUGUAGAGGAAUUGAUUUAGGGGAUAUAUGUAUGGAAAUACAAGAAAGUUGCAGGAGGAUCAAUAAUAAAUUUCGGCAGCCUGGAUAUGAACCAAUAGUUUUCAUUGACAGGCCAACCAUCAGUGAAAGAAUUGCCUAUUACAGCAUUGCUGAGUGUGUUGUUGUUACAGCUGUGAGGGAUGGGAUGAACCUUACUCCUUACGAAUACAUUGUGUGCAGGCAGGGAUUAUCUGGUUCUGAAUCAUGUACCAAUUUCAGUGGAUCAAAGAAGAGCAUGUUAGUGAUGUCAGAGUUUAUUGGCUGUUCUCCAUCGUUAAGUGGGGCAAUUCGUGUCAACCCUUGGAAUAUUGAAGCAACUGCGGAGGCAAUGAUUCAGGCUAUUUCAGCUUCUGACACUGAAAAACAGCUGCGGCAUGAGAAGCAUUGUCGGUAUGUUAGCACACAUGAUGUGGCUUAUUGGUCACAAAUUUUCUUGCAAGACUUGGAAAGAAAUUGUGCUGAUAAUUUCAGGAAAAAGUGUUGGGGAGUUGGUAUUGGCUUUGGGUUCAGAAUACUGGCACUUGAUCCUAAUUUCAGAAAGCUUUCAGUAGCUAUCAUUGUUUCAGCUUACAAAAGGGCUAAGAGUAGGGC
rnacentral:misc_RNA from 1 species